AAAGCGCCUGUAGGUUGUUUAGUAAGUCUGUUGUUAAAGACCAGGGCUUAACCCUGGGAAAGCAAUGGAAACUACUAGACUUGAGUAUGGCAGGGGUAGAGGGAAUUUCUAGUGUAGCGGUGAAAUGCGUAGAUAUUAGAAAGAACACCGGCGGCGAAAGCGCUCUACUGGACCAUUACUGACACUCAGAGGCGAAAGCUAGGGGAGCAAAAGGGAUUAGAUACCCCUGUAGUCCUAGCCGUAAACGAUGGAUACUAGAUGUUGCGCAAUUUGUGCAGUAUCUUAGCUAACGCGUUAAGUAUCCCGCCUGGGGAGUACGCUCGCAAGGGUGAAACUCAAAGGAAUUGACGGGGGCCCGCACAAGCGGUGGAGCAUGUGGUUUAAUUCGAUGCAACGCGAAGAACCUUACCAGGGCUUGACAUACUACAAAUCUUUUCGAAACGAAAGAGUGCCUUCGGGAAUGUAGAUACAGGUGGUGCAUGGCUGUCGUCAGCUCGUGUCGUGAGAUGUUGGGUUAAGUCCCGCAACGAGCGCAACCCUCAUUUUUAGUUGCCAAUUUAUUGGGAUUUCUAGAGAGACUGCCGGUGACAAACCGGAGGAAGGUGAGGAUGACGUCAAGUCAGCAUGCCCCUUAUGCCCUGGGCCACACACGUGCUACAAUGGC
rnacentral:rRNA from 1 species